rnacentral:rRNA from 1 species
GGGGAAUCUUGGACAAUGGGCGCAAGCCUGAUCCAGCAAUGCCGCGUGGGUGAAGAAGGCCUUCGGGUUGUAAAGCCCUUUCGGCGGGGAAGAAAUCGGUCAGGCGAAUAGUCUGGCCGGAUGACGGUACCCGCAGAAGAAGCACCGGCUAACUACGUGUCAGCAGCCGCGGUAAUACGUAGGGUGCGAGCGUUAAUUGGAAUUACUGGGCGUAAAGGGUGCGCAGGCGGCCCUGUAAGACCGGUGUGAAAUCCCCGGGCUCAACCUGGGAAUUGCGCUGGUGACUGCAGGGCUAGAGUACGGUAGAGGGGGGUGGAAUUCCUGGUGUAGCAGUGAAAUGCGUAGAGAUCAGGAGGAACACCGAUGGCGAAGGCAGCCCCCUGGGCCUGUACUGACGCUCAUGCACGAAAGCGUGGGGAGCAAACAGGAUUAGAUACCCUGGUAGUCCACGCCCUAAACGAUGAGAACUAGCCGUCUGGAGUCUUCGUGCUCUGGGUGGCGCAGCUAACGCGUGAAGUUCUCCGCCUGGGGAGUACGGCCGCAAGGUUA